rnacentral:rRNA from 1 species
GUCUGUGCCACCCUGAACAAGCCUGAUGUCUGAUCUUGGAAGCUAAGCAGGGUCAGGCCUGGUUAGUACUUGGAGGCGAGGCCACUUAGGAAGACCAGGUCCUGUAAGCA